CCAAUCGGGCGGUAAAUUCCGUCCA
rnacentral:siRNA from 1 species